GGGGCGAGCCUGAUCCAGCCAUUCCGCGUGAGUGAAGAAGGCCUUCGGGUUGUAAAGCUCUUUCGCAAGGGAAGAAACGAUGCAGUCGAAUAAACUGCGUUAAUGACGGUACCUUGAUAAGAAGCACCGGCUAACUACGUGCCAGCAGCCGCGGUAAUACGUAGGGUGCGAGCGUUAAUCGGAAUUACUGGGCGUAAAGCGUGCGCAGGCGGUUUUGUAAGUCAGAUGUGAAAUCCCCGGGCUCAACCUGGGAACUGCGUUUGAAACUACAAGGCUAGAGUGUAGCAGAGGGGGGUAGAAUUCCACGUGUAGCAGUGAAAUGCGUAGAGAUGUGGAGGAAUACCAAUGGCGAAGGCAGCCCCCUGGGUUAACACUGACGCUCAUGCACGAAAGCGUGGGGAGCAAACAGGAUUAGAUACCCUGGUAGUCCACGCCCUAAACGAUGUCUACUAGUUGUUGGUGGAGUAAAAUCCAUUAGUAACGCAGCUAACGCGUGAAGUAGACCGCCUGGGGAGUACGGUCGCAAGAUUAAAACUCAAUGA
rnacentral:rRNA from 1 species